GCUAACGUCCGUCGUGAAGAGGGAAACAACCCAGACCGCCAGCUAAGGUCCCAAAGUCAUGGUUAAGUGGGAAACGAUGUGGGAAGGCCCAGACAGCCAGGAUGUUGGCUUAGAAGCAGCCAUCAUUUAAAGAAAGCGUAAUAGCUCACUGGUCGAGUCGGCCUGCGCGGAAGAUGUAACGGGGCUAAACCAUGCACCGAAGCUGCGGCAGCGACACUCAGGUGUUGUUGGGUAGGGGAGCGUUCUGUAAGCCUGCGAAGGUGGCCUGUGAGGGUUGCUGGAGGUAUCAGAAGUGCGAAUGCUGACAUAAGUAACGAUAAAGCGGGUGAAAAGCCCGCUCGCCGGAAGACCAAGGGUUCCUGUCCAACGUUAAUCGGGGCAGGGUGAGUCGACCCCUAAGGCGAGGCCGAAAGGCGUAGUCGAUGGGAAACGGGUUAAUAUUCCCGUACUUGGUGUUACUGCGAAGGGGGGACGGAGAAGGCUAUGUUGGCCGGGCGACGGUUGUCCCGGUUUAAGCGUGUAGGUGUGUGUUCCAGGUAAAUCCGGUU
rnacentral:rRNA from 1 species